GCUUGUAGCUCAGUGGAUUAGAGCACGUGGCUACGAACUACGUUGUCGGGGGUUCAAGUCCCUUCUUGCCC
rnacentral:ncRNA from 12 species